UACGUAGGGUGCAAGCGUUAAUCGGAAUUACUGGGCGUAAAGCGUGCGCAGGCGGUUUUGUAAGUCUGUCGUGAAAUCCCCGGGCUCAACCUGGGAAUUGCGAUGGAGACUGCAAGGCUAGAAUCUGGCAGAGGGGGGGUAGAAUUCCACGUGUAGCAGUGAAAUGCGUAGAGAUGUGGAGGAACACCGAUGGGCGAAGGCAGCCCCCUGGGUCAAGAUUGACGCUCAUGCACGAAAGCGUGGGGGAGCAAACAGG
rnacentral:rRNA from 1 species